GACGAACCACACAAACGUUAUUCGGAAUUACUGGGCUUAAAGGGUGCGUAGGCUGUGCAGAAAGUUAGGUGUGAAAUCCCCCGGCUCAACCGGGGAAUUGCGCUUAAAACUACUGUGCUAGAGGAAGAUAGAGGUGAGCGGAACUUCGGGUGGAGCGGUGAAAUGCGUUGAUAUCCGAAGGAACACCGGUGGCGAAAGCGGCUCACUGGAUCUUUUCUGACGCUGAUGCACGAAAGCUAGGGGAGCAAAC
rnacentral:rRNA from 1 species